rnacentral:sRNA from 1 species
AAGAGUUGGACACGACUGAGAGACUGAACUGAACUGAUCUCAAAUGUAGAAGUACCUAUAUUUUUACAUGCAAAUAUAGUGAUGCUUGUUUUCCUCCAUGAUAUAUCACAGUUUUUAUCUCACUUUAUGAAAAUCUUGAACCUCUUUUUCUUAUGUGAAAUUUGGACUUGUCCAUCCUUCAUAUCUAUCUAGAUGGUGGUUUUCUACCAUUAAAUGUGAAGUUCUGGAUAUUUCACAUAGGACAAUCUUGGCAAUGGUUUC